CGAACGGGUAGAGUAACACGUGAGCAACCUGCCCUAUACAACGGGAUAACACAGAGAAAUUUGUGCUAAUACGGUAUAAGACCACAGUAUCGCAUGAUACAGGGUAAAAGAUUUAUCGGUAUAGGAUGGGCUCGCGACCCAUUAGCUAGUUGGUGAGGUAACGGCCCACCAAGGNAACGAUGGGUAGCCGACCUGAGAGGGUGAUCGGCCACACUGGGACUGAGACACGGCCCAGACUCCUACGGGAGGCAGCAG
rnacentral:rRNA from 1 species